rnacentral:lncRNA from 1 species
AAAUAUAAAUAAUAAAAAUGAUAAAAUUGGGUAAAAAUAUUAUUUGGACUUAAUUGAAAUUGAUUUUGGAAAAAAGUGGUGAAAAUUUGGAUUCUGUGGGUGUUUUUGAAAAGAAAAUCAGAAACCAGGGUCAAAACGCAAUUUAGAAAAGUUGCACCACGUCAGUAGCCACAUCAGCGGCCCGGUCAGCAGCCCCGGCCAACUAGAACGUGCCGCAUGGCAAGGCAACACUGACCAGGGAACGGGCCACGCGGGUGAUCCGCGUGCGCGCGAUCGGACGGCCCAGAUCCGACGUCGGAGCACGGCGGAGCCGCCGUGCCGGAAUUGCGAUAUU